CACGGAGUUAGCCGGUGCUUCCUCUGUGGGUACCGUCAUUAUCGUUCCCACUGACAGGAGUUUACAUCCCGAAAGACGUCAUCCUCCACGCGGCGUCGCUGCGUCAGGGUCUCCCCCAUUGCGCAAAAUUCCUCA
rnacentral:rRNA from 1 species